rnacentral:rRNA from 1 species
GACGAACGCUGGCGGCGUGCCUAAUACAUGCAAGUCGAACGAACUCUGGUAUUGAUUGGUGCUUGCAUCAUGAUUUACAUUUGAGUGAGUGGCGAACUGGUGAGUAACACGUGGGAAACCUGCCCAGAAGCGGGGGAUAACACCUGGAAACAGAUGCUAAUACCGCAUAACAACUUGGACCGCAUGGUCCGAGCUUGAAAGAUGGCUUCGGCUAUCACUUUUGGAUGGUCCCGCGGCGUAUUAGCUAGAUGGUGGGGUAACGGCUCACCAUGGCAAUGAUACGUAGCCGACCUGAGAGGGUAAUCGGCCACAUUGGGACUGAGACACGGCCCAAACUCCUACGGGAGGCAGCAGUAGGGAAUCUUCCACAAUGGACGAAAGUCUGAUGGAGCAACGCCGCGUGAGUGAAGAAGGGUUUCGGCUCGUAAAACUCUGUUGUUAAAGAAGAACAUAUCUGAGAGUAACUGUUCAGGUAUUGACGGUAUUUAACCAGAAAGCCACGGCUAACUACGUGCCAGCAGCCGCGGUAAUACGUAGGUGGCAAGCGUUGUCCGGAUUUAUUGGGCGUAAAGCGAGCGCAGGCGGUUUUUUAAGUCUGAUGUGAAAGCCUUCGGCUCAACCGAAGAAGUGCAUCGGAAACUGGGAAACUUGAGUGCAGAAGAGGACAGUGGAACUCCAUGUGUAGCGGUGAAAUGCGUAGAUAUAUGGAAGAACACCAGUGGCGAAGGCGGCUGUCUGGUCUGUAACUGACGCUGAGGCUCGAAAGUAUGGGUAGCAAACAGGAUUAGAUACCCUGGUAGUCCAUACCGUAAACGAUGAAUGCUAAGUGUUGGAGGGUUUCCGCCCUUCAGUGCUGCAGCUAACGCAUUAAGCAUUCCGCCUGGGGAGUACGGCCGCAAGGCUGAAACUCAAAGGAAUUGACGGGGGCCCGCACAAGCGGUGGAGCAUGUGGUUUAAUUCGAAGCUACGCGAAGAACCUUACCAGGUCUUGACAUACUAUGCAAAUCUAAGAGAUUAGACGUUCCCUUCGGGGACAUGGAUACAGGUGGUGCAUGGUUGUCGUCAGCUCGUGUCGUGAGAUGUUGGGUUAAGUCCCGCAACGAGCGCAACCCUUAUUAUCAGUUGCCAGCAUUAAGUUGGGCACUCUGGUGAGACUGCCGGUGACAAACCGGAGGAAGGUGGGGAUGACGUCAAAUCAUCAUACCCCUUAUGACCUGGGCUACACACGUGCUACAAUGGAUGGUACAACGAGUUGCGAACUCGCGAGAGUAAGCUAAUCUCUUAAAGCCAUUCUCAGUUCGGAUUGUAGGCUGCAACUCGCCUACAUGAAGUCGGAAUCGCUAGUAAUCGCGGAUCAGCAUGCCGCGGUGAAUACGUUCCCGGGCCUUGUACACACCGCCCGUCACACCAUGAGAGUUUGUAACACCCAAAGUCGGUGGGGUAACCUUUUAGGAACCAGCCGCCUAAGGUGGGACAGAUGAUUAGGGUGAAGUCGU